ACCUAGGGUUUUGACCGCAGUCCCUAUAUAUGUAUGGGUGUGAAUAUGUGUGUGUUAAUCGCACUCAACUAGCUUAGAUCUCAUUCGAAUUUGAUUUUUUAUCUGUUAUUUCGCGACGAUUUGAUCAAAUUUGCGACGAGCCAUAAUCCAUGUUCGUAUAACUCUAAUUCAAAUUCGUCGCCAGAAAAAGCUUAUUCCUUCGUUGAGAUCUCCGAUUUCCGAAGUCUCUCUAAGAACGACUGAUGAGGAUCCUAUUGGUAAGCUCAUUCAAUUCGGCAAGCCUUGAAGGACGAGACGGGUGCCCUGAUAAAACGUGAAGUGGACUAUACUUGCGGGUAGAGCUCAAACGACGCUUGCAAGUAGAGCUGGAAACAGCAGUCCCUCAACCGGUCCAACAUCGAGUUCGUUUACGUAGACCUAAGAGUCAGCCUGCCCGGAGGCCUAUUCAGCUUCAUAUGGGCCUGCUCAAUGGGAAGGCACCCGCGAGCGAAUCAGAAGCCCAAUUGCGUCUGGCGGGCGAAGAGGGUGUCAUUGCGGAUGUUGCUCAUGCGAUGCUAUACGAAAUGCUGUGUGAAUACCACAAGAUGUACAUAGCUGAAACUGAUGAGGAAAUGAAGAACGUGCUAAGGGAUAUUAUCAAAGCUCUAAAGUUUAAUUACUGGGACGCCUAUGUGGUGCUGAUGGGUUCCGUCAAGUUUCGUGCUAGUGUUGCUGCUGGCUGGCCGAAGCAGAUGAGGCUCCACAUCUCCGGCGAGUAUAGCAGCAGUACCGGUUCCCACGACCUCUUUGAUGAUGCUGAAGAGACCCCUCCACCGGUUCCCCCGCCAACCACGCAGCCGUCGCCCAGUUGGUCAAAUGACGGCAACGCCGAUGUCUAGGGGAGGCGCCAGCAGGUCCCAGGAGGUCCAAUCGGCAGCUCCUAGUGCCGUGCUCAGGCCCGCUCUCAUCAACCUUGUGCGCGUGCGACAACAGAUGAGCAUGUUCGAGGUCAUAAGGAGGUGGAAAACAACGUAUGACCCCUUAUACAAGAUGUUGGAGGGUAUCAUCCAAAUUAUGAGGCUCGAUUUGGGGCUCCCACCCCUCACUGGGGGUGCCGCUAGGGGAGCCUCUGGGGACUCCGAUGCCAUCGGGACUGGCCAAGGGGACUCCAAAGAGUACGGGUGCCCGCGUGUCGUGAAGCUUUGAGAUGAUAUUUUUUUAACUAUGUAUUUUUUUUAAUUGAACUAUGUAUCUUUUCUUCAUGAAAUAAAAUGGUU